CCUACGGGAGGCAGCAGUAGGGAAUAUUGCUCAAUGGGGGAAACCCUGAAGCAGCAACGCCGCGUGGAGGAUGAAGGUUUUCGGAUUGGAAACGCCUUUUGGUAGAGAAGAGAAGGACGGUAGCUAACGAAUAAGCACCGGCUAACGCCGUGCCAGCAGCCGCGGUAAGACGGAGGGUGCAAGCGUUCCUCGGAAUCACUGGGCGUAAAGAGCGCGUAGGCGGGAUAGCACGGCAGCUGUGAAAUCCUAUGGCUUAACCAUAGAACUGCAUUUGAAACUGUUAUUCUAGAGUAUGGGAGAGGUAGGUGGACUUCUUGGUGUAGUGGUCACAUCCGUCGAGCUC
rnacentral:rRNA from 1 species